rnacentral:lncRNA from 1 species
GUUCCAUGCCCAUCUUCAGCCGGGCCCCUAAUUCUCGAGUCUAGCGUCUGCCUUGCUCUUCCUCCCAAAGGCAUCUCUUGUUCCCUCUGGGGUCAGGGGUGCCAUGUGGACCUGGCUGGGAGACAGGAUGCCGUUCACAACAGCCCUGUCUGCAGGUUCACCCUCAGAGUAGUCCAGGAAUUCCUGGAACAGAGGAAACAGUGAUGUUCGGUGGGCCACGUCUAAUCAGAAGUCGUGUGACUUCCUCCUAUGCCCCGUGGGCUUGCUGAUGGCACCCUCCACUCCAUGGCGUAAUUUCCACAGUGCUGUCGCAUUGGUGUGGCUUCAUCACGGCGCAGCGUUCGCGGGUGAAACCAUCUCAUCUUCUCUUGCAGGAAUCCUUGACCGUUUGACCCUCAGGACCAGAGCUGAAGUUCAGACAGCGGUCGUGGAUUUCGUUCAUCCGACUUUAGUGAAGAGAUUUUGUGGCUCUGCGUGCUCCUGUGGGGUGCAUAGUUCAAGUCCCUUAAACACAUGCUGCUACUUACCUGCCACCCCAGGCGGAGGCUUUUCAAAGAGGCUUUUCACUGAUUCCCAGUCAGCCCGUACAGUGGAGUGGUUUAGAGGCGAGACGCUGGGCUCACCUCCACCGCUUCCCAUCCUGACCUGUGGCCUGGGCAGGCUCUUCUGAGGACUUGUAAAGUGAGACUGCAGCGGCUCCAAGCCCUAUGGCGAGGAUCAAGUGAAGGAACACACGCAGGGCACUCAGGCCAGGGUCCCUCGUGGGGAGAGCUUAGUAGUAAAUCCUGAAUGUCGCCAUGUGGGCCCAAAGUCCCCCACCACGCAUAUUCUCUACACUGUGUUUGAAAACUCAAAAAACUGGAGAGGAACCAAACAGGAGUUAAAAUGACCGUUACCAGUGAGGGCAGACAGGUGUGGACCUGCCCCGGAGAACAGCCCGAAGAGCUGCAGGAGGAAUCCGAAAAUUCCGCUUGAAAGCACAGGAGAACUGUCAGGUUCCAGGGGAGGAGAGAGCUGCGGAAAGACGGUCUGUUGUCUGGGGCAGAUGUGACCCUGGGGGCAUCUGUACUUUCUGAAAGUAGUGUCUCAGUGGCCGGGAAACUGAGCAAGUUUUCAACAGCGUCUGGAGGCUGGGAAGCAAAAACUCGAGUCAGAUUUUGAAAGUGAAAGGCUGCACACUGUGAUCUCUAGGACAAGGAGUUGUAGGAGAGCAUGAAACUACGGAGCUAAUAGAGAUAACGGUGGGAAGAGUGAAGAUAUCCCGUGACUCGAGGAGAUGGCGGGAAAGACACGCAAGGACACGGAAAAGGUGGGACGGAUGGAAAGCGAACCACAGGACAGAGCGUUCAUCCCACACAGAUCUGCAGCCCCAAGGCUUUGCGUGGAGACCUCGACAGUUGACAACUCAAACGAAGGACAAACCAGAAGCAGCGGAGCUCACAAAGACCAGCUUUAAACCGCCUCAGCCUCUGACUAGAGGACAGGAUGAUGCACUACCCGGGAGAGGAAAGGGCAUCCUCACCAAAGCAAAGUCUGUCAUUAAAAUCCUCACCUUAUCUCUGCCAUUCUUCAGGUGCAGAAUUUUACAUUUCAUAGGAAAAAAAAAAAAAAAACACACCACUCUCAGCAGCUGGCGUAAGAUAAGAGACAUAAGACAUAGGGACAAAUGA